rnacentral:rRNA from 1 species
GACGAACGCUGGCGGCGUGCUUAACACAUGCAAGUCGAGCGAAAAGGCCCUGCGUUUGUGGGGUGCUCGAUUGGCGAACGGGUGAGUAACACGUGAGUAACCUGUCCUUGACUUUGGGAUAAAUUCAGGAAACUGGGGCUAAUACCGGGUAGGAGAUCCUGCUGCAUGGUGGGGGUUGGAAAGAUUCGGCGGUUGUGGAUGGACUCGCGGCUUAUCAGCUUGUUGGUGGGGUAGUGGCUUACAAAGGCUUUGACGGGUAGCCGGCCUGAGAGGGCGAACGGGCACCAUGGGACUGAGAGACGGCGCAGACUCCUACGGGAGGCAGCAGGGGGGAAUAUUGCACAAUGGGCGGAAGCCUGAUGCAGCAACGCCGCGUGCGGGAUGACGGCCUUCGGGUUGUAAACCGCUUUCGCCUGUGACGAAGCGGGAGUGACGGUAAUGGGUAAAGAAGCACCGGCUAACUACGUG